GGUAUUGGCAAUAGGGGCUGAUUGCAACGGAGAUGGAAAGAGGCAAGGUUGAAGAAGAUCACCAAGUCAAAGCGGAUGAAGCUCCUUAAGGUCAUGCCAAAUGAGAUCUUCGCAAAGAAGAAGAAUUAGAACAUUUAAACACCACGAUUUCAUCAAGGAACACAAGCGAGACUCAAACAAAUGAGAUGGAGAAGGGGCCUAGCAGCACAUGUGCUAUCCUCGUACAGUUAUAGGAAAACGAGCAAAGAGCAACUAGUGGUUGAACUAAAAAUCAGGCUAGCCUGCUUAUCAUAGGGGAUGCGAGAAGGAGAAAGAUGACGAUUGGCACAAGCUUGCACACAUUUCAUACAUUCAGAUUGGAUGGCCA